rnacentral:lncRNA from 1 species
AUUGAGGGCGGCUGGCGACGUUAACGCGGAAGUCCGGUGGCCUUCGUGAAGCUGGCGGGUGGUCGACAGGGGCGUUCUGUCUUUCAACUCACUGCGUUCGUGAACAUUGGAAAGCAGGCCUCAGGACCGGAAGAAUCUCAAACAUGGACAGUGCGGCCAAAUGUAAAAGUUGGUUUUUCAUGAUCAUCAGCGCGCUUGGUCUCUUUGUGGGCCUUGCAGGGUUCUUUGUGUUCAUGUUCACGUUUGCCAAUUAUCAGGCAGGAUCUUUGGCAUGCUUUUCAGGUCUGCUGGCUGCUCUGUGUCUUCACCUUCAGAUACUGGACCAUUUUGAUCUGAUGGAAGCCUGGUAUAACCCAGUCAUCAUGAGGCGGGUUGCCAUAUUUGCCAUCACUGUUCUGCUUGGCAUUCUGGCAUUGAUGGGGUGGUAUCUCAGCAAUGUCAUCUCCAAACAUGAAGGUUUCUACCCAAUUGAGACAAGCAACUCAGUCCGUGCAGUGAUGUGCUUCUUGACCUUGAAGUGGGCCAUCUCCCUGCUGGCAUUCUCAGUUAUUUACCGACGGAAAAUGGUGCAACGGGCUUUCGCCUACCACACCCUACCAGAGGAGCCGGAGGAUGCGUCGCCCGUGCCGACCUGACUCGGCUCGGCUGGCGGCUGACCUCGGCUGACACCAGCUGACCCGCGUGGUGUCCUGCGCCGCAACACGGAGAGGACGGGAGCAGCGAACCGUCAUCGACCGACCGCUUAUCGCGCGGGCCAGGGAUACCCAAAUACGCACACAUCGUGUUCGCCUCGUGUCGUGCUUGGGUUUAGUUACUCAAAUGUACAUGCACGACGAAGGGCCACGUGAACCAGUGAUACAUAGCAUGCACGGAUUGUAGUCGCCUUGUGUCAUACCUGGGUGGAGUUACUUGACUGUGAUUGCACGGAGUGUGAAAACGAAUCUCUCCGCUUAAAAACGGUUGCUUUGGCAACUGCGUUUUGAGCACCUAGGGGUGUAUCGUUUCAGUGUAUGGCGGAUGGUGAACCCAAACUCAAACUUCGUGAUAAAAAGGUUUGUCAUGCACUGUACUUAAAUGCGAUUGGGUGUGUCAUACACAUAUAUUUUGAUAAACCGUCA